AUACGCUUCAAAUACAUAGUAUGCGGCAUAGAGAAGACUUUCAGGAACAUUAUGGAGACAUCUUCACGCAUGUCCUGGAAGAAAGCGCUGCAUCUUGAGCUAGCUAUAUAUAUAUAUAUCUAUGCGGAACAAGACGAUCGUCAAAAUGUCACAUUUGAUAAGCGUGAACAUGUUCGCUCUACUGUUGCGCCACAGUAUUUUUUCAUAUAUCGUUCUUUCACAGAUGUUAUGCAAGUAUGUGUGCUACGUUGUCAUUUCAAUUUUCUUAUAUUUACACGGUACGUAAAUGUAAAUAUCACGUUGCCGAUAUUCAUAUUCUCUCCAAGAGAGUCUUUCGCUGCUUUUCUGAUAAAUUCUUCAAAAUGCUUAUGUACUGCAUUGAGAGAAAAAAAUAAAAAAUUGGAAUAACUAUAAUCUCACUAUA